GAUGAACGCUGACAGAAUGCUUAACACAUGCAAGUCAACUGUGGCGGACGGGUGAGUACCGCGUAAAGAACUUGCCUCACAGUUAGGGUCACCAUUUGGAAACGAAUGCUAAUAACUGAUACUGUGGGAGAGCUUUGCGUCCCAUUAGCUAGUUGGAGAGGAAACGGCUCAACAAGGCGAGGAUGGGUAGCCGGCCUGAGAGGGUGAUCGGCCACAAGGGGACUGAGGCACGGGCAGUACGGCUACGGGCGGCAGCAGUGGGGAAUAUUGGACAAUGGACCGAAGUAUGAACCAGCAAUUCUGUGUGCAAGAUGAAGUUUUCGGAAUGAAAGGUGCUUUCAGUAUAGAAGCGGUACCGACAGAAGAAGUGACGGCUAAAUACGUGCCAGCCGCCGCGGUAAUAC
rnacentral:rRNA from 1 species